rnacentral:rRNA from 1 species
UACGGAAGGGGCAAGCGUUGUUCGGAAUCAUUGGGCGUAAAGGGCGCGUAGGUGGUUCUGUAUGUCUACCGUGAAAGCGUACGGCUCAACCGUAUUUUGUCGGUGGAAACUGCAGGACUUGAGGCUGGGAGGGGCUGGUGGAAUUCCCUGUGUAGCGGUGAAAUGCGUAGAGAUGGGGGAGAAUACUCGUGGCGAAGGCGGCCAGCUAGACCAGUUCUGACACUGAGGCGCGACAGCGUGGGGAGCAAACAGG